GAGCAUUUCGGGCAGCUCUACCAGGUGACCCUUCGGAGGAACGUGACCCACUACAUCCCCCCCUGGGUGAGACCAGGCCCUACUUCAGCUUCGAGGGGCUGGCCCAGCGUGUCGGAGGCCCAGGAACUUUCUCCUAUAAUGCGGCCUGUGAGUGCAUUCUGGGUAAUGACAGGAGGCGGGGGAGCACUGGGACUUCAGACACAUCCUCCUUAUUAUGCAAUCAUCUACCAAGUCGUGGAGGCCACCCCCAUCACCAGCCUCUCAACCUCAUGCAAAUGCAUUCGCUGUUUUCAGUGACAUUACAUUACAGAACUACUACAACAUGGCAGGUGAGUGUAUAGCUAUUUUGUAAGGAAGAAAAACUGAAAUGUAAAUAAAAAGUGUCCUUUUUCGCCUGGUAUUUUAGGGUAGAGAAAAUGCAACAUUUUCUUACGUAAGAUAUCAAACUAUCAACAGUUGAUCCAGUACUAGCUAAUUUUGUCAGACUGUGAAUUACUUUUCUUUCGUAACGGAACUGAUCUGUUUGUUAAAAGCCGAAAUCUAAUUGUUUAAAACAAACGACAGAAGUGGCUGCCAUGUUUGUUGGACAGUGCAAAACUGCAGACUUGGUCCAUCACACUGACAUAAAUGUAAUACAUAUUAACAUUGUUGCUUUUCAUAUUUAUAUUCCAGUGACAAAGCACCGUUAUUAUCUUUUCUAUAUGAGCCUACCCACAAAACAAAGAGCAAUAAAUUACACAAUGGUGUUUGGUUUGAUAGAUACAAUAAUGUAUAUACACACACACAAAUAACAGUUUACUUUUCAAAGACAGAUUAUUAAUAUACAUGUGUUGAGCACAACACACUCAUGAAUAUACUGCAGAAUGUUCUGAAACUCAGAAAAGCUACAACAUAUCCAAAAUAACUUAAAAAAAAGAAUGUUAAAAAUGAUUGAGUGACACAUGUAAAAAUGUUGAAAGUUGUAACUGUAACAAGGAUGCAGUAUGAAAGGAAAUGUACAAUAAAAUACAAGUUAAACUCU